CCUACGGGAGGCUGCAGUGAGGAAUAUUGGUCAAUGGACGCAAGUCUGAACCAGCCACGCCGCGUGCAGGAAGACGGCUCUCUGAGUUGUAAACUCUUUUUGCAGGAGGGUAAACGCAGACUCGCGUUUCUGACUGAGAGCCUCGUACGAACGAGCAUCGGCCCACUGUGUGCCAGCAGCCGCGGGAAUACGGAGGAUUCAAGCGUUAUCCGGAUUUUUUGGGUUUAAAGGGUGCGUAGGCGGUCGGACAAGUUAGGGGUGAAAGCCCGGGGUUCAACUUCGGAAUUGCCUUUGAUACUAGUCGACUAGAGUGUAGUAGCGGUAGGCGGAAUGUAUGGUGUAGCGGUGAAAUGCUUAGAGAUCAGACGGAACACCGGUUGCGAAGGCAGCUUAC
rnacentral:rRNA from 1 species